AACUUUUAGCAACGGAUCUCUUGGCUC
rnacentral:rRNA from 1 species